AUGUACGGACAGACAGUACGGAUAGGGAGAGCAGUACGGACGCAGGCCGUACCAACGACCAUCCGCAAGAAGUAACUCGGCCAAGGUGAAAUGUAAACAGGCUGGAGUUACUUUACCUUUCUUACCAUGAGCUGAUCAUUAGAAGGAUAAGGGAGGCGCGUCUGACAGGCUGUCAUAAGCUGGAAAGGUAAAGGCAUAGUCAAAGAUGCUUUACACAUGUGGAGACUCUCAUUGGAAGGAUUCAAAUGAUCUCUUAGCUGGUUAUUGACCUCACAUGCUUUCUACUUUGUGUAAUCGAAACCCUAGUGUCUUAAGCUUCCUAUAUAAGUGUAAACUCUCUCAUUAAUAAGAUUAAGCAAGUUAUGAGUCUCUCUUAGUCUCUCUUUAGUUCUUUAGACUCU
rnacentral:lncRNA from 1 species